AAAAGGCAAUGGAGGACCGAACCCACAUCCGUUGAAAAGGGUGGGGAUGAGGUGUGGAUAGGGGAGAAAUUCCAAUCGAACCCGGAGAUAGCUGGUUCUCCUCGAAAUAGCUUUAGGGCUAGCCUCGUAUUAGUCUAGUGGAGGUAGAGCACUGAAUUUCCUAGGGGGCGUCAAAGCUUACCGAAGAAUAUCAAACUCCGAAUGCCAUAUAGAUGAUGUACGGGAGUCAGACUGCACGAGAUAAGUUGGGCAGUCAAAAGGGAAAGAGCCCAGACCGCCAGCUAAGGUCCCAAAGUGUGUGUUAAGUGGAAAAGGAUGUGGGAUUUCGAAGACAACUAGGAUGUUGGCUCAGAAGCAGCCAUACAUUAAAAGAGUGCGUAAUAGCUCACUAGUCGAGAGGUCCUGCGCCGAAAAUGUCCGGGGCUGAAACACAACACCGAAGCUGCGGAACCCGCAAGGGUUGGUAGAGGAGCAUUCUUAAAGGAACGAAGCAGUACCGAAAGGAGCUGUGGACUUUUAAGAAGAGAGAAUGCCGGAAUGAGUAGCGAGAGUAAGGUGAGAAUCCUUACGGCCGAAUAUCCAAGGUUUCCAGGGUAAAGCUGAUCUGCCCUGGGGAAGUCGGGACCUAAGGCGAGGCCGAGAGGCGUAGCCGAUGGACAACAGGUUGAGAUUCCUGUACUACAGUAUGACAGAACUGUGGGGACGCAGAAGGAGAGCACUACCUGGAAUGGAAUCCAGGGGCAAGCACAGGAGGGGUACGGCUGGAAAAACCGCCGUGCAACCCAAAGGUGUGACGCAUACCGAACUAAAGUAGGGAAAUGUGUGAGCCGGCUGCCGAGAAAAGCCGCUAUUGUUUGUACUGUACCCGUACCGUAAACCGACACAGGUGGAUGAGGAGAGAAUCCUAAGGCCGACGGAAGAAGCAUUGCUAAGGAACUCGGCAAAAUGACCCUGUAACUUCGGGAGAAAGGGUGCCUCGAAAGAGGCCGCAGAGAAUAGGCCCAAGCAACUGUUUAGCAAAAACACAGGUCUAUGCAAAACCGCAAGGUGAAGUAUAUGGGCUGACGCCUGCCCGGUGCUGGAAGGUUAAGGGGAGAUGUCAGGAGACGAAGCAUCGAACUUAAGCCCCAGUAAACGGCGGCCGUAACUAUAACGGUCCUAAGGUAGCGAAAUUCCUUGUCGGGUAAGUUCCGACCCGCACGAAAGGCGUAAUGAUUUGGGCGCUGUCUCGGCAAUGCAUCCGGUGAAAUUGAAGUGCCAGUGAAGAUGCUGGCUACCCGCGCCAGGACGGAAAGACCCCAUGGAGCUUUACUCCCGCUUCUU
rnacentral:rRNA from 1 species